CACAAAUGUAAGGAGAAACGUAAAAGUAAAAACGAAAUAAAAUGGAUGCCGGCAUAUAAAAAAGAAAAAAGCCUGUGUAUGUCACGCUUUGGCCUAUUAUUGCUUAUUAUAAAAUGUAAUAUCGAAUUUCCCAUGCGUAUCGCUGCCAUAAUUUUCUGCAACCUCAUUGGACGUGGUUUACGAAUUUGCUUCAACUGUCUAUUACUAGCAGCAAAUUGCGCAAUUAAAUUAACUAUUGCCUCUAUUUGCCUUUUCUUCAUAUUGUUAAUAGUGAAACAAACCAAAUAAUCUAAAAUAUUCCACCAAACCAAAUGCAUUGAAGAAAAAACAAAAAAGUAUUGGCAGCUGAUUGUCAAUUCUGCAGCUAAUCUGCCAUAUGUGGACGGGUAGAUUCAUUUUUAUGGAUUUAUUGCUACUAUACUGCAUAUGUGAACGUACUUUUUUUAAAAUAACCCAUCACACAGGCUGUUUGAUUUGAAUUUAAUGAAUUCGUUGUAAUAUGACUGCUAUUAUGUGACUACCAAAUACUCCAAUGUUACUAUUGGAAGGUUUAUAACUUAAAAAAAAACUAUUUGCUAAAUACUUA